ACGGGAGGCAGCAGUGGGGAAUAUUGGGCAAUGGGCGCAAGCCUGACCCAGCAACGCCGCGUGAGGGAAGAAGGUUUUCGGAUUGUAAACCUCUGUCCUAAGGGAAGAAGCAAGUGACGGUACCUGCAGAAGAAGUCACGGCUAACUACGUGCCAGCAGCCGCGGUAAUACGUAGGUGGCGAGCGUUAUCCGGAAUUACUGGGUGUAAAGGGUGUGUAGGCGGGGAAGCAAGUCAGGUGUGAAAAUUGUGGGCUCAACCCACAAAUUGCACUUGAAACUGUUUUUCUUGAGAGUGGGAGAGGUAAACGGAAUUCCUGGUGUAGUAGUGAAAUGCGUAGAUAUCAGGAGGAACACCGGUGGCGAAGGCGGUUUACUGGACCACAACUGACGCUGCGACACGAAAGCGUGGGGAGCAAACAGGAUUAGAUACCCUGGUA
rnacentral:rRNA from 1 species